UUCAUGGAUCUGUCAUCGAUUUAGGGUAUUGAAAUCUUUGAAAAUAUUUGAAUUAGGUUAGGAUUUAGUCUCAUCUGGCAAAGUUUUGAUUAACAUAGGAUUUGUUUGAGUCAAUUUUGAGUCUCGUGUGUUGUUUGAGUCAAUUUUGAGUCGCGUGUGUUGUUACAGUCAAACCUUGUGAGUCAAUUUCGAUUCUGUUUGAGUGAAUUUACAGUAAUGAUUUAUCGCUUUUGCUUGAGUCUCGUGUGUUGUUACAGUAUUUCGCUUAUGUUUGAGUGAAUUUACAGUAAUGAUUAAUCCAUUUUGCUUGUUUCUUUGAUGAGGCUUCUAGGUGAGAUUAAACAUUGGAAAUUAAAUCGAGGAGAAGGAUCAUCAAACCUGCAUCAUCAAACGAUAGGAAUCUCAAGGUAGACGAAGAUAUGUUCUCUGAUUAUGACUAUGGCAUAAACAGCCCACUAGACUAUAGUGAUGAUUCAGAAUCAGAGGCUGAGACAUGUUACUAUGAACCUACACCAUCAGUUGGACGACCUAGUCUUACGAACCAUGAGGUAUUGGUUCCACUACCUGCUCAUGUGACACAACCAGCCGAGGUUGGAUGACCUAGUCUUACGAACCAGCCGAACGACCAAGUCAACCAGCGUAACGACCAAGUGAUCGUUGAGCUCAAGGACCAAGUGAUCCAGCUCAACGACCAAAUGAUCCAGCUCAAGCUUUUGGUGAUCCAGCUCAAGGACCAAGUCAUGCACCUGAAGGACCACGUCUAUCAGAGGCUCAAGUAAAGUUUGGGAUGUUGUUUACUGAGUUUGAGUUUGUCCGUUUGAGUCACAUGUAUUUACAUGUAUGUGUUUGCUUUGUUUGGACAGAGUCACUUAUGUUUUUUGAGUUUGUCCGUUUGAGUCACAUGUAUUUACAUGUACUUGGUGGUGCUGAGUUUGAGUCACAUGGUUUUGUUUUUA